rnacentral:rRNA from 1 species
AUGUCUGGACUGGAAGUAAACUUCCAGAAGAGCGAGAUCCUGACUGUCGGAGGGGAUGCUGACAUUGAUAGCAAGUAUGCCGAGGUCUUUAACUGCGAAAUCAGGCACUUUCCAAUUAAAUAUCUUGGUAUGCCUGUGAGUUUCACAACCCUUAAAAAUUUAGUGUGGGAGUUUAUCGUAGAUAAAUACCUUAAGUGUUUCGGGUCCUGGAUUGGUAAUGCUGCAUCUAGCGGGGGCAAACUUACUUUGCUUACCUUGGUACUAUCGCAGUUAUCUCUAUAUCAUAUGUCCAUGUGGCUUAUGAGUAAAACUUUCAUAGAAAGGCUGGACAAGCACCGUCGUAAGUUUUUCUGGCACGGCUGCAAUAAGAAGAAUAGAUAUUACCUGGUCAAAUGGAAGAGGGUGUGUAGAUCGAAGGGCAAAGGGGGUCUAGGUGUCAAAGACCUCAGGAAACAAAACAUCAGCCUGCUGGUGAAAUGGUGGUGGAAAUUAGAAACCCAAACUGGGGUUUGGCAAAACUUGGUGAGAGCCAAAUAUUUACAAAACAAAACGGUAGCAACUGUACAACCUAGACAAUCUGAUUCCCCAUGCUCGAAAUCUCUUCUGAAAGUCAGGGAGUUGUACAUGAUGGGGAGAAAAAUUAAGCUAGGAUGCGGCAACCUGACCAGGGUGUGGAAAGACUCAAUUGAUGGGCUGCCCGCACUCAAUUCGAGGUUCCCUCGGCUGUUUGAGAUCUGUACAGACCAGGAUUGUACAGUCCAAAACUUUAACAGGAUAGAGGCUUCGACCUUUUUUAGAAGGCGUUUAUGCCCUGAUCUAAGAGAACAG